rnacentral:lncRNA from 1 species
CUGUUUGGCCUUGGUUAGGCACGCGGCGUGACAAGACGACGGCGCGUGUUUACGUCUCGCUGUGCGUCGUGUGCGUGUCGUAAGCACCGUCAGCAAGCUUGCCGUCAGUGUGUAGCCAGACAGUGCAGUGUGUGCCUUGACGGCCUCGACUGCUAGUCGCGUCUGCACGCAGCGUAAAGGCGUAAAUCUCUCGCAGCCGCAGUGAACAACCAAGCAUCACUUCCUUCGUUGAGGAAACCUAAUCGAGGCCUGAAUCAGCCGUUGUGAUUUUGAAGCCAGCAUGGAUCCUUUCAUCAAAUCUUUUUUUGAAUGUGUCUGGUUCAGUGUUCUCCUCAAUCUGGCAUACGCUUUUGAUGAAGAGUUUGAAAAAAAAUGGAAUAGCAUGCAUAAACGGACCAUCUUGGCUCCUGGAACAAUCGUCACCAUAUUUGUCGCCUUGAUGAUUGCAGCAACUUGUAUAAGCCUGCUCUGUUUCUGCCUGCGACGACAGCGCAAUAUAUAUAAUGCCAGUCCUUGCGUUCCACCUCCGCUGACACCAGCUGCACCUGUAGUGACGUCGGGGGCAAGGACGCACGCCCCACUUGACUCGUAUCCUCUGGUUUCGGGAGCGACUCUGUCUCCGGCCACACCAAGUCCACAGCAGACUUACUACCCCCAGCCAACUGCACCAUAUUUACAGGGGGGCCCCCACAUGGGCAACGAUGCCGCACCACUGAUACAGCCGCCGGCUGCCGUGUUGCCGUCGCCAUCCGCACCACGCGAGCCACUGCCAUAUGAGCGACCACCACCAUAUGCGAACCAAUCUGAAGAAUCUUAUGUCAUGAAAUCAUAGUUGAGCACAGCCUUGCAUGGUAACCGCACAUGUCGAACCGGUGUGGCAGCUGGGUGGCUGUGGCAUCUUUGUACUGAGCAUGAGGUCGCGGGUUCGAGUCCAGUGAUGUUGGUGUGUGAGAACACGUGUCAUUAAAGGGGCCCUGCAACACUUUUUUGACAUGGUCAGAUAAUAGUGCUGAUUGGUAGUCGAGGCUACUGUGAAAAUAUGAGCCAGACAUUGUAGCACAGCUCGCUGCAUGCACUUUACAAUUAAAAUUUCAAAGUCAGCUAGAUAUUGCGCUCACUCUCCUCUCGACAAAUGAUGCCAUAUAUACCCAGAAUCGACUGCUGUAGAGUGCUGCAUUGUGCCUGUACCGCACUCUACAAAAUGCGCUCGUCAUCACACUGAAAGGGAGCGGCACGUUCAAAGAAAAACAAGAAAGUGCCCGAGAUCAUUUCAUUUGUUGCCAUGCGGACAUAGCUUCUUGCCUUCUUGUCAUCCCACCAUGCUGUGUAGCUUUCAGCGUGCUCGCUGGGACAAAAGGAGAGAGAAAGCGCUCAAAGCAUGCAACAAAUUCCUGUAAUUCCACUCGUACUUGACGGAUUCUAAAAUUUUUCCGGCAGUUAAUUUGUGAAGCAAUAAACUUGGAUAGGUAAAGUCAUUUCAUGAUUACUUGGAAAAGUGUCGCAGGGCCCCUUUAAAUUAAGUUCACGCAUCAGAACUCCAGGUGGUUGAAACCAAUCCAGAGUCGGAUCAAUCAAUUCUUUGUGUGAUCGCAGUGAAAGUCUGGUCUGUUUAAAUAUGACGCACUGCCAAUAUGUUUCUUUCACAUAUCAUGCACUGAAAGUAACAUUUUUAUAAAUAAUUUGGAUACUCAUCAUUCGCAAUGAUGAGAUACUAGAUAUAACAGCAUUUUAAUUUAUGGAGGACAAAGGCCAUGAAAGACUCCAUAUGUAAUUGCAUAUUUCUUUCUUGUCGUCCUCAUUUUAGCACUCCUUGCAGAGAAAUAAUGACAGCUUUCACACUCAAAAAGCACACUUGUAUUGCGUGAGGAAUAGGACCAUCAGCAUAGAAAAAUUCUACGUUGAGACAGCAGCAAAUGAGUCGCAAGUAUGCCUGACUGUUGCACACUAGUCCACAUUAUUGUCAUCUUGUCCACUUGGAAAAAUUGUUCUCACGCUGGCUGUGAAUGAGUCACGAACACACCUUGUGUUUACAUGCUAGUCAAAGUAAGUUGUUUUUGUUUAUCCUCUACUGACUCGUUCUGAAGCCGCUGCCCAGGUUCUUGUGUAAACAGCUGCGAAUGGAUCCAGACGAAAAGUUCAGUGAGGUCGAAUGCAACGAUGAACAAAUAUCUCCCUCCUUACCAACGUAAAAUGCCUGUCGUAUCUACUGCUAAAUUCACACUGACAUUUUUAAUAAUAUGUUUCACUUUAUUAAACACGUGUGUUAAAAUUACGCAGAGAUGAGAAAGGUAUUACAAAGCGAUGCGAUUAUGUCGAUUGGCUGUGAGACAAGUAGUUGUGUACGGCAAUAAUAAUUAAGGCAGAAUAGACUGUAUUGCAUUUGUAGCUCAACAAACUAAACUCUGAUAAGCCUGGUCUGUACUGACUGUUCUAUCCUGAAUGAUUAGUUUUUUGUUCUUAAUUCUAGGAACAAGUAACGUCAACACCAUUAAAGCCACCUUUUAAAUACUCUCGUGCACAUGUACAAAGAUAAUUCCGAAUCUCUUGCCCACUGCUCUGAGUAUGCAAGACCAAUUUUUCCUUCACUCUUGAGGUUGGCAUAAUAUAGUCAUCUAAGUGACAGCCACAUUUAAGCUGGUGUGUGCUCUCAGACUUGUCUCUUAUAGACAUGACAGCAUUCCAGCAAAAACUGCGGACAUUAUAUCAUCAGGGGCCACAUAUUCUCAGUUGAUCGCAUCAUUGGGCAUCACUUUUGGUACGCGUUGAUUACCUGAGCCAGCAGACUGGAUCCUCAUCACUUCAGCUAAGGUAUCAUGCUGCUAUAUCAUAAAAAGUGAAGGUACACCUGCUGAUGAACCACUGAGAAUGACCCAGUGGUAAAAUAUGAACUAUGAGUGUUCGUUUAAGCACCUUCUUCUGAGCUGUGAUCUGCACUUUGCAUUUUAUCCUUAGUCUUAUUGCACAGUGAUGUCACUUUGCAUGCACUGCAUUGACCAAAGAAACAGAGAAGCUUCUUGGUUUAUCCUAUUGAGCUUUGUAGGUGGUUGAACAAUUUAUGGCUCCUGAUUUUGCUGGGUCUGCCUAUGCAUAGUAAAUACCAGGGGCAUAGUAUCUUAUUUACCGAUCUGCUUUAACCAUCUCUUUGAUUGACUUAAGUGAACUGUGUUAAGUUUCCGGCCAUGGUGGCUGCACCUAAGUGAUGGGGGAAAAAUGCAAAUAUAGUCUUGUGUCUUGCACGAUUCCCAGGUGGUCAAGAUUAAUGGGAAGCCCCCUGCUCUAGUGUCUCACAAUUUAUGAGCCAUCUUGUGAUGUCAAACUGCAUAAUUUAUUUUAAAUGAUAAGACUGCAUAACAUAUGUGUUCACUUAUAAUAAUUAUUAUUGUUAUUCAAAUACCCUGAAGGACUGUACUCGCACUAGUUAAGGUUGUUUCAGUAAGUCAUUAAUAAGUGCAGUGCACGCAUUCGAACAGAUGUUAGAUCCACAGUUUGUGGCAGUGAGUCUCCGGUAAUUUUAUUUUGAUUGCCAAAUGCAUUCAUAAAGAUGCAUUUCUAGCAGUCACACGUUAUCGAGCAUGACGGUGACAAAUACUAAUUGUUUUCACUGUCAUGUUCCUGUCAAUGUAACGUGACAUACACACACUACGUGACAAACAUUUUGUCACCUCAUCUUCUUUGCUAAAGUGUUUGCCAAUGUUGAACAAGUUUCUGCUGUGUAAGCUUCUAGAUGAUGUACACAACUUGCACACUUCCAUUUCAUGCACAACAAACUUGAAUUUCGCCUCAAGAGCUGUUUUACGCUCUGCAUGGUCUGAAUGUGUUUUAUGUGAAUUCUGAGUGUUUAUGUUCAUGUUGUGAAUGUUUGUGCUGGUACAAAGACUCUAUGCAUAUGCAUGGUUGCAAGUGCUGAGCGUUGGAAGUCGCUGCAUUUUAAUAAACAUUUCUUUCCUGCAUUAUAUGCUCAAGCAUGUGUGGAGGUCAGUGCUCGUAUCGAUGCUCUUUUUAUACUGUGAUACGCGAGGCAAUUAACUUGCAUCUGUUUUGUGUCACGGUCUUUUGCCAACAUGUGCCUACCUUCGUUUAAUUUCUAUUUGUUGUCUGCCGUUUUACUUGCUGCAUUGCAAGUGUGCAUGCUGCCUUGUGCAACAAUAUUUUAUAUCAAUUGUUCCUAAGUUAUGAAUAAAGAUAAUUUACAUCGACAAUA